AUUGAACGCUGGCGGCAUGCUUUACACAUGCAAGUCGAACGGCAGCACGGACUUCGGUCUGGUGGCGAGUGGCGAACGGGUGAGUAAUACAUCGGAACGUGCCCAGUUGUGGGGGAUAACUACUCGAAAGAGUAGCUAAUACCGCAUGAGAACUGAGGUUGAAAGCAGGGGAUCGUAAGACCUUGCGCAACUGGAGCGGCCGAUGGCAGAUUAGGUAGUUGGUGGGAUAAAAGCUUACCAAGCCGACGAUCUGUAGCUGGUCUGAGAGGACGACCAGCCACACUGGGACUGAGACACGGCCCAGACUCCUACGGGAGGCAGCAGUGGGGAAUUUUGGACAAUGGGCGAAAGCCUGAUCCAGCAAUGCCGCGUGCAGGAUGAAGGCCCUCGGGUUGUAAACUGCCUUUGUACGGAACGAAAAGCUUCUGGUUAAUACCUGGGAGUCAUGACGGUACCGUAAGAAUAAGCACCGGCUAACUACGUGCCAGCCGCCGCGGUAAAAC
rnacentral:rRNA from 1 species